rnacentral:rRNA from 1 species
UACGGAGGAUGCGAGCGUUAUCCGGAUUUAUUGGGUUUAAAGGGUCCGUAGGCGGGUUAGUAAGUCAGUGGUGAAAUCCGGCAGCUUAACUGUCGUAUUGCCGUUGAUACUGCUAAUCUUGAAUUACUGUGAAGUGGUUAGAAUAUGUAGUGUAGCGGUGAAAUGCUUAGAUAUUACAUGGAAUACCAAUUGCGAAGGCAGAUCACUAACAGUAUAUUGACGCUGAUGGACGAAAGCGUGGGGAGCAAACAGGAUUAGAUA